rnacentral:rRNA from 1 species
AGAAAGCCCCGGCUAACUACGUGCCAGCAGCCGCGGUAAUACGUAGGGGGCAAGCGUUGUCCGGAAUUAUUGGGCGUAAAGCGCGCGCAGGCGGUCUCUUAAGUCUGAUGUGAAAGCCCACGGCUCAACCGUGGAGGGCCAUUGGAAACUGGGGGACUUGAGUGUAGGAGAGGAAAGUGGAAUUCCAUGUGUAGCGGUGGAAUGCGUAGAUAUAUGGAAGAACACCAGUGGCGAAGGCGACUCUCUGGUCUGCAACUGACGCUGAGGCUCGAAAGCAUGGGUAGCGAACAGGAUUAGAUACCCUGGUAGUCCAUGCCGUAAACGAUGAGUGCUAAGUGUUGGGAGGUUUCCGCCUCUCAGUGCUGCAGCUAACGCAUUAAGCACUCCGCCUGGGGAGUACGACCGCAAGGUUGAAACUCAAAGGAAUUGACGGGGGCCCGCACAAGCGGUGGAGCAUGUGGUUUAAUUCGAAGCAACGUCGACGCGGCCG